GUUUAAAUAGUUUAAAUAAAAUACUGAUCUUGUAAAUCAGAGAUAAGCUUAGCUUUUAAAACU
rnacentral:tRNA from 1 species